rnacentral:lncRNA from 10 species
CACCCAACCUUGAUGAGCUGGAAGGGGUAUCUGUUGAGUCUCCUCUUGGAUUUCAAAUCUCCCUGAUUUUUUGGUUUGAGAUCCAUACUAUAUUCAAAUGACCUGACUUCAUGCUCAAGGGGGAUUAAAGUUCUACUUUAAACCUUUAAGAGGAAAUCUCUGAAGAAAUCGUGGAUGGAAAUCCUGGCCAGUUACAUUCACUGAACCUUGAAACAAUUGUUACAAGAAACUCAACACGCCUGACUCAGGGUUACUGUUCAUUCUUCUGGAAGCUGCAGAGAAAGGGAACCUGGAAACCUGAUGCAAAUAAUCCACCAAGGUCAAUGUAUAUGAAGACUUCAAGAUGGCUUGCCAAACGUAUCCGGUACUCACCUCCCCCAUAAAGAAGAACCAAAAGAAAUCACACUUCCAAUAGAGCACAUAAGAGAGAAUGCUGAAAUUCAGUAGAGAAAUCACAGGUAAUGCCUUAGGCAAGGGGAGAGCGAAGCAAGGCAGCCUGGUCAGCCAGGAUUUACUGGGAGCCUGGGGAGGCUCUAUGAUAUUGGGAAAGGAGUUUUGCUCUUGCUGCUUAGACUGGAGUGCAAUGGCAUGAUCUCAGCUCACCGCAACCUCUGCCUCCUGGAUUCAAAUGAUUCUCCCGCCUCAGCCUCCCGAGUAGCUGGAAUUGCAGGCAUGUACCACCAUGCCUGGCUAAUUUUGUAUUUUUAGUAGAGACAGGGUUUCUCCAUGUUGGUCAAGCUGGUCUUCAACUCCCGACCUUAGGUGAUCCACCUGCCUCAGCCUCCCAAAGUGCUGGGAUUACAGGCGUGAGCCACUGCACCCGGCAAUACUAAUGGUUUAUCCAAGUAUCUGCUUAUCUGAAAUUCAAAUAUCACUGAGCUUAGCAUUUUCAACAAUGUAGAUGAUCAUAGAAGACAUUAUGCUAAUUGAAAGAAGCCAGUCACAGAAGGACAAAUACUGCAUGAUUCUACUUACCUGACUUAUCUUAAAUAGUCGAAAUCGUUGAAGCAGAGAAUAGACUGGUGGUUGCCAGGGGCUGAAGGGAAGGAGGAAAUGUGGAAUUGUUGCACAACUGGUAUAAAGUUUCAGUUAUACAAUGUGACUAAGUUUUCAAGCUCUGCUAUACAACAUUGUACUUAUAGUUAACAAUAUGGUAUUAUGUACCUUAAAAUAUAAAGAGAAUAGAUCUAUUGUUGAGUAUUCUUACCACAAACAAACCAAAAACUUACAGAAGAACACAAGAACAUUUUUGUAGGUGAUAAAUAGGUUGAGUAGCUUGAUUGUGGUGAUAUAGUGAGUAUAUGGUAUAUGCAUAUGUCCAAACUCUUCAAAAUGCAUAUAUUAAAUAUGUACAAUUUUCAUAUAUUAACUAUAUACUAAAAGCUUAUAUAUAUAAAUAUAGCUUAAGAAAAAUAUUGCAUUUCUAAGUUUUGUUAGAAAAAUUUCAAUUACUCAUAGAGGUACUAGUUUCACUCUUAAUUAUGUGCAGUGUAUUUUAUUAUCCAUAGGAUACUAUUGGAGGCUCACCAACUCUAAAUUGUUCAUGCAUAGUUCCUAUCACUACCAUUUUCAAAUACCAAGUAGAAAAGACCUACAUGAGUGAUGUAUUAAACAAAGAAAUAAACAAUCCACAAACAUUUCUUGAGUAUCUAUUAUAGAAACAGCAUCCAAGGAAAUAAUUGGAUAAAGAAUAGGAAAGGUUUUUGUUUGUCGGUUUGUUUUUAUCUUCCGGAUACAUAAUAAAUUACUUGUCAGUUUUCUGUCAAGAAAUCUAUUAAGCCAAAAGGUUGUAAGAAUGCACUGAGUUGGUUGUGAGGGUGGUAGCAAAUAAUCUUACAAGAAAAAUUUUAAGACAAAAUAGAAAGAAUGAAUGGCAAAUUUACAAAUUUAGAGAUUGCUUAAGAUUUGUUCCAAUAAUGAAUAAAUAAAAGUAAAUUAAAAUGAAAGUUUAAAAACAAAACAAAUUUAACUGGUUACACUGUUUUAUUUUUUUCUCCUAAUUCUGGCAACCCUAUGCCCAUUAAUAGGAAAAUUUGAUAUUUUUGUGCAUUGUAUCACUACAAACGAAUAAAAAGAAUAAACUAUUGAUAUAUUCAAUAACACAAAUAAAUCUCAAAAUAAUUAUUGAGUGAAAAAAGCCAGAGAAAAAUCAAUGGUAGUAUAAUUCUAUUUACAUAAAAUUCUAUGAAAUGAAAAGUAAUGGACAGUGACAGAAAGCAGAUUAGUGGUUGCCAAGGAAUGGGAGAAGGGGCAUAGUGCAGGUGCAGAUAGUUAUUACAAGGAGAAAAAAAAUUGGGGGGUUAUUGGUAUGUUCAUUAUCUCAAUUGUGGUGCUGAUUUUCACAGGUGUAUACCUAUGUUUAAACUCAUCAAAUUAUACAUUUUAAAUGAAUGCACAUUAUUUUAUGGCAAUAGUCUCUUAAAGUUAGUUUUAAGUAAAUAAAAAUUCAAAAAGAAGAAAAUAAAAAUAAAAUUUAAAAUUCAAUAACAUUCUUACUUGUUAAAGGUAGGUAAAGAAAGUUAAAAACUAAAUGUAUAUAAAUAAAGAGGUGUGGUUUUUAUAUAAAAAUACACAUAUUCUCAUAUAAAAUAAAUAAUUUAAAUGAACACAUUACUUGUUCAUGAAAGGGAAAAGGCAUUUUGUAGUUUAAUGUAAAUUUCAGCAGCCCGGCAUAGUGGCUCACGCCUGUAAUCCUAGCACUUUGGGAGGCCAAGGCAGGAGGAUACCUUGAGCGCAGGAGUUCGAGAUUGGCCUGAGUAACAUAGGGAGAUCCUAUCUCUGUUAAAAAGUAUAUAAAUAAAUAAAUAAAUUUUAGCAGAAUAAUUAUGAUUUUUUAAAAGUUUAAAUUAUUCUCAAAUCUGUUUAUAAUACCAAGUGUCUAGAAUUCUAAAAUAUUUGUUCAAAGAAGAAAAAUAUGAAGUAUACAGUUAGAGAAAACAAGAUGUUAAAUAUUUUGCAAGAAACUAAGUAAUAAUUUUAUGUUUUCAUUUAACACAAAUACAUUAGACAUAUAUUAUUUGACAGUUAUUCUUGGAGUCACUGCUACAAAAAUAAAAAAUAUGUCAAAGUUACUUUCUUGGGCUCAUAUUCUAUAGGUGGUAAUAGUAAAAAGUAAAUUCAAGAAAACAAUAUAAUUCCUGACAAUGUACAUUACUAUGGCAACAAAAAGGCCAGAAGUAACAGAAGAAAACGGAAGUGAAGUGUAUUAUUCUUCAUAGGAUGUCUGGGUAAGGUCUUUUCGAAGAGGCAAUGCGUGAUUUCAAAUUUGAAUGGAGGAAAGGAGAAAACCACUCACUCUCUGAAGAACAUAAUUUCAGUCCUGGGUAAAAAGUUUGGCAAACUUGAAGACAACCAUGAAGACUACUGAGUUUGAAGCCCAAUCAGUGAGAAAAAGAAAAAAAAAAAUCGUGAGAAAGGAGCUCAGAGAGGUAGUCAGAAACUAGAUUACAAGAUAUCCUACAGGCAAUGAUUGGACUUUGAAUUUUAUUUAUUCUAAGAGUAAUAGGGAAG